rnacentral:rRNA from 1 species
UACGUAGGGUGCAAGCGUUGUCCGGAAUUAUUGGGCGUAAAGAGCUCGUAGGCGGCUUGUCGCGUCGGCUGUGAAAACUCGGGGCUCAACCCCGAGCCUGCAGUCGAUACGGGCAGGCUGGAGUCCGGCAGGGGAGACUGGAAUUCCUGGUGUAGCGGUGAAAUGCGCAGAUAUCAGGAGGAACACCGGUGGCGAAGGCGGGUCUCUGGGCCGAUACUGACGCUGAGGAGCGAAAGCGUGGGGAGCGAACAGG